CUGAGUGGCGGACGGGUGAGUAACGCGUGGGUAACCUGCCUCACACAGGGGGAUAACAGUUGGAAACGGCUGCUAAUACCGCAUAAGCGCACAGUACCGCAUGGUACAGUGUGAAAAACUCCGGUGGUGUGAGAUGGACCCGCGUCUGAUUAGCUAGUUGGCAGGGCAACGGCCUACCAAGGCGACGAUCAGUAGCCGACCUGAGAGGGUGACCGGCCACAUUGGGACUGAGACACGGCCCAAACUCCUACGGGAGGCAGCAGUGGGGAAUAUUGCACAAUGGGGGGAACCCUGAUGCAGCGACGCCGCGUGAGCGAAGAAGUAUUUCGGUAUGUAAAGCUCUAUCAGCAGGGAAGAAGAAAUGACGGUACCUGACUAAGAAGCACCGGCUAAAUACGUGCCAGCAGCCGCGGUAAUACGUAUGGUGCAAGCGUUAUCCGGAUUUACUGGGUGUAAAGGGAGCGCAGGCGGAAGGCUAAGUCUGAUGUGAAAGCCCGGGGCUCAACCCCGGUACUGCAUUGGAAACUGGUCAUCUAGAGUGUCGGAGGGGUAAGUGGAAUUCCUAGUGUAGCGGUGAAAUGCGUAGAUAUUAGGAGGAACACCAGUGGCGAAAGCGGCCUACUG
rnacentral:rRNA from 1 species